rnacentral:rRNA from 1 species
ACUGGCGUCAGGAUGAACGCUGGCGGCGUGCCUAACACAUGCAAGUCGAGCGAUUACUUCGGUAAAGAGCGGCGGACGGGUGAGUAACGCGUGGGUAACCUGCCUCAUACACAUGGAUAACAUACCGAAAGGUAUGCUAAUACAGGAUAAUAUAAGAGAUUCACAUGAAUUUCUUAUCAAAGCUCCGGCGGUAUGAGAUGGACCCGCGUCUGAUUAGCUAGUUGGUAAGGUAAUGGCUUACCAAGGCGACGAUCAGUAGCCGACCUGAGAGGGUGAUCGGCCACAUUGGAACUGAGACACGGUCCAAACUCCUACGGGAGGCAGCAGUGGGGAAUAUUGCACAAUGGGCGAAAGCCUGAUGCCAGCAACGCCGCGUGAGUGAUGAAGGCCUUCGGGUCGUAAAACUCUGUCCUCAAGGAAGAUAAUGACGGUACUUGAGGAGGAAGCCCCGGCUAACUACGUGCCAGCAGCCGC